GUAUAUAGAAAUGACAGCUUCUUCAAUAAAUAGUGUUGGGAAAACUGAAUAGCCACAAGCAAAAGAAUGAAAGUUGGACCCCUGUCUUACGCUGUACACAAAUAUCAACUCAAAAUGGAUUAAAGACUCAAAUGUAAGACCUGAAACCACAAAACUUCCAGAAGAAAACAUGUUAAUGUCCUUGACAUCAAUAGUGGCAAUCAUUUUUUGGAUUAGAUGCAAAAAGCAAAGGAAACCAAAGCAAAAUUAAACAAGUGGGACUACAUCAAACUAAAAAAGCUUAUGCAUAGCAAAGGAAACCACCAAUGAAAUGAAAAAGAAACCUACAGAAUUAGAGAAAAUAUCUCUAAAUCAUUUAUCUGAUAAGAGGUUAAUACCCAAAAUAUACAAAGGACUCAUACAACUCAAGAGCAAAAAACAACCCAAUUAAAAAAUAGGUCAACAGCGAAUUCCCGUCAUGGCUCAUUGGAUUCAUUAACCACUGCACCGUGACGGGAACUCCAAUACUCCUCUGAUUUUUAUCACCAUGGAGUGGUUGUGCCUCUUCUUCAGUUUCAUAGAAAUGAAAUCCUAGGGUACAACUCUCUCGUUCCUCACAUGUUAAAGACCACAGACGGUCCUCCUACUUUCUUCCUUAGGGAAGGAAUGAAAGUGAGAAGCUAUCUGCUGAAUGUCUAGGAUGUGCCAGGUGUGUGCUGGACAUUCCAUUUACAAGCACUUAUCCCAUUUUAAUCCUAAUAUCAAUCCUCGGAGACAAGAGGGUAACAGAGGCAGGAUAAUUUAAGUCAAAUGCUCAAACCUGCAUCACUAAGUAAGAUCAGAAGCAGCUUGAACACAAGAUUCUGAGGCCCAAGGGGCUGCCCUCCACAUCCAUAGCCCUGUCCAGAGACUGGUGGAGGUGAGAUGGUGUUAUAGAGCAACUUAAGCCCCUGAGAUGUGAGGAUGUCUGAUCCCUCACAAGCACCUGUUUCCCAGGCAGGUAUUCACAGCUCUACCACCAGGUGCAGGGGCAGAAACAGGAGGUCGGGUCAUGCCACCUUCUCUGUCUUGGCCUUUUUCCAAUUUGUUCAGCUGAGGGCAGCUUGACUGAGCAGCAGGCUGGUGGGAAAGGGGAGGGAGUCGGGAUUAGAUGGAUGAGGAGGAUAGGCAUCCUGUGGAGGUGCCCUCACUAGGGGCUGCCAGCCAUGCUGGCCAUGGGUGCAGAGGUGUUUGGUGGGCUCAGGCAGGCCUGGCCCCAUCCACCUGGUGAUGUUGAGGAAUCCCAGCUUUGGCUAGGAUUUUAUUGCUGUAUUUCUGACAGAUGAGCCAGCUCAGAUACCUUCACCUCCCUGCCUGCUUUAGGAGUCAGACACAUAUUUAAUCACUCAUGCACUGGCCAUAUAUUUCAUAAUAGCAAUAAUUGUAGCUCUGAUCCCUUGGACUUACGUAACCAUAUUGUGGAACAAGCACAACUCAUGAAGCAACUAUAUUUGUGCCCUGCACUAUCUGGGUGAGAGGGGCAGGCCUUCCCCUGUCCCUGCCUGGCAAGGCCUCAUGACAACUCUGGGUGCUCCUGGAUAAUGAAUGCUCUACAGUCACUCAUUUGCAAAAUACAAGACCAGUUUGGUGUUUCCACAUCCAUCCCAGGGUCGCAUAACUGACUUUCAGCCACCUCUUUGAAAGCAUGCUUCUUGGUCUGCGCCUCACUUUAGAGUGUCACGUCUCCUGUGUCUUGGUGCCCUCUUGGAGCUUCCAUUUUAACGUCCUCUUAUAUCUACCAUGUGUGUAAUCUCUUUUAAUCUUCAAAGGACCCCCCUUGAGAAAGAGAGCACUGUUGUCCCAUUUUUCAGGUGAGGAAACUGAAAAAUUAAUCUCUCCCAGAGAGAUUAAAGAACUUGCCAGCCUGGAAGGGUGCCCAGCCAGGAGCGGCAGCACUGGGCUUCAAAACCCAAAGGCUCUAGAACACCACUAUGCAUUUACUUGUUUAUAUACCAAGCCCUAUCUGGGCAGCAAAAGAGAGAAGCCGUCCUGGGGGAAGAAAGCCUCCUGUGUCAGGACCGGGAGGAACAUGCGCUAAGCAAACUGUAAGCUCCGGGUCUGGCUGCUACACAGGAAGGCAGUGAGGGGAUGAGGUCAUGCGGCAGGGGGAAUAGACCCAUUCUACGCCCAGGUAGGGCUUUCCACAGGGGAGUGAUAUGUCUGGACAGAGGACUAGACAAUGAUGUAGGCUGCACUGUGGGCAGUGGGUCUUCAGAGCUGAGCCUGAGGGUGGGGAGGAGCAGAGGGUCAGUGAAUGAUUUGGGAGCAGUGGUGUUUCCCAUCUGCCACCUGCAGAGGGCGUGAGAGGACAGAAGGAUGGUUGUCAGCACAUAUCUGCAAGCACUCAACCGCUGCCAGCCAGGUUCCCCUGCUUCUGAUUACUCCUCCCUAAGCCCCCAGACCACCGAUCCUCAUGGUACAAGGCCCUCAUGCUAAGAGAUGAAGGUGGCAUUUUGUGUACUGGAAAGAAGUGCACUGUGGACCCAAGGCUCUUCCCUCCUCCUGCCUCUCCUCCCAGAUACCAGCUGAUGGGAAAACUGAGUUCUCCCCAUGGAAGAUGCCCAGAGUUCACAACUCAGCCCUCCUAGACACUCAGGAUAUAAGGCACUACGAGAAGCUGGGCUACAGGAGCUCCAGGCUGGACUUCUGGCCCCUGAGAACUGAAGACUUGGCCAUGACCUUACAUUUGCAGGUGGGAACAAGUGUUUACAAGACAAGCCUGAGCUGGAGUAGGCCUGGGCCAAGAAGCUACCUUGGGCUUUUCCAACCAAGACAGCCAGGGACCUGCACUGAGUCUGCUGAAAUCAUCAACAGCCUCAACGAUCACUUAACCAAGGGUGGAGAGUGUAUUGAUCUAAACUAAUGGUCCGUAGGCCAGCAGAAAUGAAAUUUAUAAUCAAUAUUGAAUUACAUCGACUCCACUGAUCCCAGGCUCCUGGUGAAUAGCUUGCUAAUCUGAACAGAAGCAGAGGCAGCAAACCUAGGGCCAGCUGCUCCAGGACAAGGAUUCGAAAAGGGAGAGGUGCCUCCCAGGGGCUCAGCCUAUAGCAACGAGAAACAGACUCACCCCCAUUCAUCCAUUCAGCACUUUUCUGUUUACAAAGCACUUUCAAAGUGUCAUUCAUUUCUUCCUCACCACAGUCUAAGAAAUGCAUAAGACUUGUAUUUUGCUCUCAUUUUAUAUGGAAACCUGGGACUCAAAGAGUAAGGGCCUUAGGCCUCCAAAUCCUGGCCCCCUUCCAUGACCUCUCUACUUCUACCGCUAAACUAGGAAAAGGAGAAAAAUUGCCUUCUGUGUUUCCUGCUCCUGCUUGGCAGUUCUCUGAUUAUAGGAAUGGAAUCAGUGAUCUCGUGCCCUUUAACUUUUCAUCAUAUGGAAACAGGCCAUGAAUAGGAGAAAUCCUGUUGGCAGAUUCCUUCCAAACCAAGGACAUCAUCUACAGAGGUAUAGGGUGUCUUGGAUUUGAUCUUUCCCAUCUGCUUUGAACUUGAGGAUUCCUGUCUUGUGUCCACUCAUUCACUCAGUAAAGAUUUACUGAGAGCUUCUGUACUAUAGUCUAGGAAUCAGGCAUGAAGAGGGCACCCUCUCUGGCUUUGGGAAGCCCACACAUCAACACAGCAUAUGGAGGUGUCUGCCAUCUAUGCGGGCAGCAUAAUAAACGGUGGUCUCCCUGCUUUGUGAAUCUACUAGAAUCUACUAGAGCCUACUAGAGGAGACACAGGGUAUAGCACAAAAUGGCCCCCGUGGGGGGCCAAUCAUUGAUCUAGAAAGUGUAGGGCGUGUGGUGUGAGUGGGAGGUGAAGCUGGAAACCCAGAUACUCACUGGCUCACAGAGGCUUUCUCAUCUUCCUGACUUCACACCCAUGUUGAUGACGGCUGAAGCUGUCCUCCCCAUGAAAGGGAGCACAACCUCCUCAAAAAGAGAUGAAACAAGAGGGACCCAGGGUGAGAUGAUGGUUGGAGGGCCAACCUGUGGAUAGAAGUUAAGAAAGUCUAUCAGGCUUGUCUUUCUCAAAGAAAAGGGAUUUUUAUUAGACUUGGUGGGAAGGGGUUAGGGUGUGGUCUGUUCUAGGGCAGGGAAGUGGGUUCUGUGAGAGUCAGGUGUAAGAGCCUGAGAACCAGACUUUCUGGAUCUAAACCCUUGCCCUCUUUAUCCUGCAUGUCUUCCUCUCCUUCCUGCUCAGCUUAUCCUUUCUGCCCCUAGCCUUCUAUAGUGUAGGGGAGGAAAAACUUUUCCUCUACCCUCUUAAGUUCUGUACCUGAACCCUGCUAAUUCAACUGAUGCAAGAUUAAUAGGGCAUUCUCUCGUGGUGCAACAAGUUAAGGAUCUGGCAUUGUCACUACAACAGCUUGAGUCGCUGCUGUGGCAGAGGUUUCAUUCCUGGCCUGAGAACUUCCAUAUGCCAUGGAUGUGGCCAAAAAAAAAUUUUUUAACGGUUAGUAGGAGAGGAGGCAUAAAAAUCGUAGUAAUAGUUUUAAGUGUCUGAAGGGGUACUUCAUAGAAAAGAAAUAGGUAAACCCAGUGGCAGUAAAUUGUAGGAAGGUGACUAGGGAAUGUAUGGUAGAUAAGAAGGGUUGUUUAAUAAGGUUCACUAUGCAGACUCAAGCCACCUUCUGAUGAUAAGAAUUUCACUCUCGUCUUCCUGGUACAGGAGUAGCAAGUCAGCUUUACAAAGGGAAAUGUAUGCCCUGCUUUUGGGCAGAAAGGGGGAGGAAAAGAGCUCCUCCUGUGUGCUAUUUCUCAGUUGCCUUCAGCUCAAAAUAAUCAAGAUGCAAAAGUGGCAUAUUUUGGGGGUGGCAUAGCCUGAUCCCCCUCUGUUGACUCACUCUGUUCUGUCAUCCACCUUCAGCCUCAGCACUGGCCUCCCAGUCUCCCAGCUUGACCUCCUUGCUGCCUCUUGUAUGUGCCAUGAUGACAGACUCUCAUAUUGGGGUGUCUUUGUUCCCCCUUUACUUCUUCCAGGGCAGGCGUGUGCCUUUCAUCUCCACACCACAGUGGCUCACACAGGGUGGACCCCCAAGAGGCACCAUAAGUUCCAUGAAUCGAUGAAUGAACACUGAGCCAGUUGAACUUGGGGGUCACAUACUGCUUGGAAGUGCAGGUCAAGCAGUUUGGGGGUUGCCCUGCCUCCUGCAGCCCCUCGCUGAAAACCAGCACCAGUUGAGUCAGGAGACAGACCCAGGAAGAGCCAAUAAAAGUAACUGUUAAGAAUGUGGUCUUUGGAGUUCCCUUGUAGUGCAGUAGGUUAAGGACCUGGCAUUGUCACUGUGGUGACUACGGUCACUGCUGUGGUGCGGGUUAGAUCCCUGCCACCAGGAAAUUCUACACGCCACAGGCAUGGCCAGAAAAAAAGUGUGAUCUUUUAUAUUAAUGUUUUUAAAGCAUUAAAAUAGGAGUUCCCGUGGUGGCUCAGUGGUUAAUGAAUCCAACUAGGAACCAUGAGGUUGCGGGUUGGAUCCCUGGCUUUGCUCAGUGGGUUAAGGAUCCAGGGUUGCCGUGAGCUGUGGUGUAGGUCGAAGACAUGGCUUGGAUCUGGCAUUGCUGUGGCUGUGGCUGUGGCUGUGGCUGGCAGCUACAGCUCUGAUUAGACCCCUAGCCUGGGAAUCUCCAUAUGCUGUGGAAGCAGCCCUAGAAAAGGAAAAAAGACAAAAAAAAAAAAA
rnacentral:lncRNA from 1 species